CAGCUAGAAGGCCUUAUUUAUAAAUCAGAAAUUGGGUUCUCACCAGAUACUGAAUCUGCCAGCUCCUUGAUCUUGGACUUCCCAGCUUCCAGAACUAUGAGAUAACAGACUAAGGGAUUACUAACACUUUUAUUUAUCGGAGCUGAACACCUUUAUACCUCAUUGAAUCCUUAAAACAACUUUAUGAGGUAGGUGUUAUUAUCUUCCACAUUUUUCAGAAAAUGAAACAGACUUUGAGAGUCAGAGUUACUUCCCCAAGGUCACUCUAGAGUUAUGAGUAGAGCAGUGAUUUUUGACUCCAGUGGUGCCCUUUUAACCUUCAGCAAUGCUUCCCCACAUCUGGUUUCAAUGUCGAUGUCUAGUUCUUCCUUAAUAAGGAACUGGUGGUGAUGACUCAACCCACGUGGCUAGGG
rnacentral:lncRNA from 10 species